GCCGACGUGGCACAGUGGUAGUGGUCUCGCUUCAUAGGCGUGCGGUGCGGGUUUGCUUCUCGCUGUCGUCG
rfam:Haemonchus placei strain MHpl1 genome assembly, scaffold: HPLM_scaffold0002236